UGGCGAACGGGUGAGUAACACGUGGGUGAUCUGCCCUGCACUCUGGGAUAAGCCUUGGAAACUGGGUCUAAUACCGGAUAGGACCAUGCUUUAGUGUGUGUGGUGGAAAGUUUUUUCGGUGUAGGAUGAGUCCGCGGCCUAUCAGCUUGUUGGUGGGGUAAUGGCCUACCAAGGCGGCGACGGGUAGCCGGACUGAGAGGUUGGUCGGCCACAUUGGGACUGAGAUACGGCCCAG
rnacentral:rRNA from 1 species